rnacentral:lncRNA from 1 species
GAUGUAAUAUUUUUUAAAAAUGGCUUUUUUGUUGUUGUUUGUUUGUUUGGAAGACUUUUUUUUUUUGGUCUUGAAAAUGAUAGACAUUUGUAGAAUAUGGAGACUAACUCCUAGGAGUUGCUUUACUCUGUCAGGUGACUAAAGUCACUGAGAUUCACUAAUUUUCUCUGAGAGAACAGUUGAUUGGUUGUGUUCUCCUCUCUUCCCCAACUCCUACCUUAUUUAUACCUGGCUCUCCAGUUCUCUCUUGGUUCACACUCUUUUUGUGGUGAGCCCAAGUGGCCAGACCAGCU